rnacentral:misc_RNA from 1 species
GCCACUUGUACCUCUUGCUGCUAGGUCUUCGUCGUCAAAACGAACAGAAGACACGGAAGAAGUAAUCGCUGAAGCUAGGGAGGCUGUCAGCUAUUACCUACAAGAACUUGGUGUUUCUCAUAAGGAAUCCAUCGAAGUAGCCCUCAACUCACCUAAUUACGUUAGCAUGCUGAUAGAUAGCGUCCGUGAACUGGAUGAGUUUUCCUUAUGGAAUUCCACUGACUUUGAAAAAGCAUAUGACCCGG